rnacentral:lncRNA from 1 species
GAAUAAUGAAUAAAAAUAAAAUAGUUGGGAAUUAAGCAAGAGAAGAGAAGAGGAAGGUGGGUUUGCAGGGAUGGAAUUAGUAGUAUAUAUAGUAGUGAAAUGAUGAUAGAAUAAAUCAUCCCAACUAUCCAUUCUCUCAAUUAAUUCCAUAUAUUCCACUCUACUUGUACUACCUAGCUACUUUAAGGAUGCCUACUGACAUGUUGGAAGUUCAUUUGAAUUCCUCCGCUAAUGAUGUUUGGGGUGCCCUCACCGCCGCUACAA